UACAGAGGGUGCGAGCGUUAAUCGGAAUUACUGGGCGUAAAGCGUGCGCAGGCGGUUGUGCAAGACAGAUGUGAAAUCCCCGGGCUUAACCUGGGAACUGCAUUUGUGACUGCACAGCUGGAGUGCGGCAGAGGGGGAUGGAAUUCCGCGUGUAGCAGUGAAAUGCGUAGAUAUGCGGAGGAACACCGAUGGCGAAGGCAAUCCCCUGGGCCUGCACUGACGCUCAUGCACGAAAGCGUGGGGAGCAAACAGG
rnacentral:rRNA from 1 species